rnacentral:lncRNA from 1 species
AAAAAAUUCUAUUUUACUUGUAAUUUUAUUUUUUAAAAAGAAGAUUAUACUAUUUGCCUCUGUCCUUACUACCAUAAUUGACCAGUUUCAUUCAGUAAAAAUAUUUUUAACAAUAAAAAACAUUUUAUUUGGUUUCCUUUUACUAUACAUAACUAAAACAAAGGAAGGUAUUUAUUUAUUUAAUCCAUCUUUUUUGGCUUUUCCAAACAGGGUGUCUUUGUGUAGCUCUGGCUGUCCUGGAACUAGCUCUAUAGACAAAAUUGGCCUCGAACUCACAGAAAUCUGCUUGCUUCUGCCUCCUGAGGGCUGGGAUCAAAGGCGUGCGCCAGCACUGCCAGGCUAACAAGCAGCUUGAACGCAGCCUGGUAGGUGACUGUCUCCUAAGCACUGCCGAUGAAGGUUGUAUUGUAUGGGUCAAUGUCCCUUUGUUCGAGGCUUCAGGCUUUCUUCCCAGAUGAUUUUCAUGGUGGGGCGGGCGGGGUGGGGGAGGCUGUUGAGCUCACGUUUGUAAUGAGGGUGAGGCUGGCACACUCUAUAAAUACUUGGUUUCUCUUCAGACUGGUUGUACUGAGCCAGACUAAGAAUGCAGAGCUGAUCCUGAACCAGCCAAGCGAGGCGCCCAGAAUGCCCUUGGAGAGGCCAGGGUCCAAACUGAGAAUCCAGAUAGUAAACUUUUCCUACUCUGUCUGAUGGGCUCAUGGCUGCUCCUCCACUCGCCUGCCAACAGGAACACCAAUUACAUGCUCCAUUGGAAAAAGCAGGGUAGAACAGGAUCGGAAAUCCACUGUUUUAUAGCUAAGUUUAAUUUCAUUUCAUAGGCUUGAAAUAUCUAUAGCACCUAUAUAUUCCAGGCUGGCUCAAACUUGUGGUCCCCCUGCCUCAGCUUCUCCGGUGCUGGGAUGACAGGAGUCUACCACCUGUAUGUCACCAUGCCCAGCCUUACAAACCUCUUCUGAUCCAACGAGAUUAUUAUGAAUUAACAUGAAAUUCAGAAAGGCAAAUUUUAAUAUGAUCAACUUCUCUGUCUCGACAUGUCAUUUUUUUAUAUUGGAGCAAUUUCUUGAGUGUGGCAAAGAGUUGCACAAUAAACUAGCCUUUAGGAUUUC